rnacentral:lncRNA from 1 species
GUAAGCUGAUGAAAUCAAAAGGAUUUUAAUAAAAAAUAGAAUAUAAAUUGAUGUAAUAAGUUGCUAUUACUGGAAGAGAAGUGAAAAGUCAUGCUGAGAUUGAGAGAGUAAACAGAGAAAAAACAGAAAUGUUUGGGUCAAACAGACUUACAAUUAUAAUCCUAGGGUCUUCCACUUCCACUUUCUCUUUCUUCUUUAGACUUCUCACACAGAACAAAGUCUUAUCUCACACAGAACAGCAGAUUUCUUAAUGAGCUCAGUGAGACCAGUGCCACUCAAUAUACAGUCUCCCAGUUGGGAGAACCUGUUACUAACAUCAUAUAAUACCAUAGGCUUCCUUAUUCAAACCCCAUUUCCUUCUAGCUCCCACACCUUUAUCCUCCACAAAAGAUUAUGUGCCCCCAAAUUCUAGAAGAGAGAGACUCUAACUACUAGUUCCCACAGAAAGCGUGUCACUGACUCCAACAUCACAAUGCACCAGACUUCAUCAAACCCUGCCCCACCCCAACACUGUGUGCAGGGAACAGUACCAACACUACUAAGAACCUUAAAAUCCCCACAUGAAGGUGCUACAUGCUGGGAGACCCACAGACUCUGGCACUUCGUGUGAGGGAAACCCGGACCACACAUCCAGAACAUGCAGCCUAGAGUCAGACUCCAGACCCGCUCUCAGCCACUAGGCGUUGUCACUGGGUGUGCGAGAUGUGAAGGGGCAAACAGGUGGGGAAGCCAAACCUGAGAGUACACCCAGGCUCCUCCCCCACUCCCUCUGGCCUCGGUGUGGAGAAGCUGAGUAAACUGGACCUCCAUGGGGUCAGGAGACCGCACGGACACGUGUCUGGAUCCGAUCAGCCGCAUCUUUCUGCGUCAAACCCAUAUUUCUGUGAGCUGUGUGUUCUCUAUGCUUGGGUUGGGAGAUGCGGCCACAGCAUUUUGGCGGGAAAGCACGCGAGGCCGCUCAGGCACCUGGGGAGAGGCGGAGGAGGGGCUAGAGGCGGGACCAGUGUGCAUGAGGUGCGCGUGCACGCUGGCGAGGGGCCUGGCCCGCCCAAGAACAAACAUACAGUUCCCGCCUCGGCUCCACAGGUGCCUUGCUUUAGCUCCAAAGCUCCUCCACUUUCUUCCUAGGCUUCGUGUCUCCUCCCCACUAGAGCUGUGCACGGUGCAUUGCGUCCGGCCUUCGGACACGGCCUUCGGACACGGCACGAGGGGAGCUUCAGAAAGAGUGAGGCAGGAGAAAAUGCAACUGCUGUCUACCAUUCUGACAUGUACAAGGGUGUAGCUGGAUUGUCAGAGCAAGCACCAAAGUUCUGAGGAUCCCUGAAGAGUCAUCCAUAGACUUCCUGUCUCUGGGACCACAGCAGUACAAUAAUCCACUAGGUUUUGUUUUUACAAGAGAACACACCGAUAUCCUGACCCUGGACUGGCUCCUACAAUCGAAGGGAAACAAUACAAUAAAAGACAUCAUUUGGUCA